GUAUAGAUAUAUAUCGACUACUAGUCGUGACCCCCCUCUUGCCACCUAUCGUCAUCAUCGCUGCCUCUUGCCGCCGCCGCCGCCGCCACCACCACUACUACUACACUCUACCAUCGAAGGGUCACGCAACACGGUAGCAUAACAAAGGAUGAUGUGCUGUCUCGACCCUUUAGCCGUCAUUAAUUCUGAACGAAGGUAGAACGAGCCUCUCAGAAUUUCUCAGAUGACUUCCAUUAGCGGCCGUUAUGUUUAUCGUUUAAGGCUAACAAUAAGCCGAUCGAAUAAAAGAAUAACAUUGACCCAAA